UUUUUAUUGUCUUGGAUGAAUCCCAUACCUUUUGUGCAUUUCUUACACUCCAUUGACAAUUCAUCUGCUCUUUUGAUUGAUCUCUGUAACUUGAUUUCUUGCUUUCUCUCCUAUUACUACGAAGAUACGAAGAAAACAAAUUCGUCUUACCGACGUGUACCAUUUCUCUUCGAUGGACAGAGGAAUCCCAGACAAAUCUGGAAGUUUGAACAGCCUUGUCCAUCAGAAGGUCAUUGAGCGAUUAUCAAAGAUUUCUAGCUGCAAUGAUUGUUGAUGUCGUAGAAAGUAGGAGGCCUCCUCUGCAGUGUUCGGGAUUAGAUGGACAAAAGAAUUCUCUAAUUUGUAUGCAAG